AUGGCGUCAGACAGAGCUUGCAUGUCAGAGUUAGUCCAGUGAUUGAACAAUCCAAGGUGAGGCUCGGCUGGCUGCUGCCUCACCGCACGUCUCUGCUCAGUAUUUGAACGGCAAAUGUGAAAAUUCAGCGAUUUUUGAAUAAAAAAUAAUCUAAAACUGGUGAAG